GAUGGGGCUUUGGAAGUGACUGGGCUGUGGAGGCCAUCAAUGAGUUCAUAGCUACAUGUGCUGUUAGAAGUGUGGCCUGGUGGAAAGGGAAAGUCAAGAACAAAAUAAUGAAAUUGGAACCAAAGAAAGGGCUGAAGACAAUCUUUGUGGAACAAGUAAACCUCAGUGGAAAGGAAUGGGAACGAAAGGGUUCUUAGUAAAGGGAGCAACUUGAGAAAAGACCCGGAGCUGUAAGAACACAGCAUGUUUACAGGUAGAAGAGCGAAAUGGCCGAGAGGAUCUGCUACAGUUCAUUUACCUGACAGAAUCGCUGCUCUGCUGUUGCCCAGAGCUUACCUGGCACAGCAUUUAUGCAAGGGCUGAGUAUGUGUUUUGGAGGGAAAAGACUGGCUUUGGAAACAUACUUGGAGAGGAAGGCAUGAUCUACAAUGAGAACAAAGAAAGCUGCCUGAACAACUGAGGAAAACAGAAAAGUAAGAAAGAAGCUUCUCUGAAUAGAAAAUGACAAC